rnacentral:rRNA from 1 species
GACGAACGCUGGCGGCGUGCUUAACACAUGCAAGUCGAACGGAAAGGCCCUGCUUUUGUGGGGUGCUCGAGUGGCGAACGGGUGAGUAACACGUGAGUAACCUGCCCUUGACUUUGGGAUAACUUCAGGAAACUGGGGCUAAUACCGGAUAGGAGCUCCUGCUGCAUGGUGGGGGUUGGAAAGUUUCGGCGGUUGGGGAUGGACUCGCGGCUUAUCAGCUUGUUGGUGGGGUAGUGGCUUACCAAGGCUUUGACGGGUAGCCGGCCUGAGAGGGUGACCGGCCACAUUGGGACUGAGAUACGGCCCAGACUCCUACGGGAGGCAGCAGCGGGGAAUAUUGCACGAUGGGCGGAAGCCUGAUGCAGCAACGCCGCGUGCGGGAUGACGGCCUUCGGGUUGUAAACCGCUUUCGCCUGUGACGAAGCGUGAGUGACGGUAAUGGGUAAAGAAGCACCGGCUAACUACGUGCCAGCAGCCGCGGUGAUACGUAGGGUGCGAGCGUUGUCCGGAUUUAUUGGGCGUAGAGGGCUCGUAGGUGGUUGAUCGCGUCGGAAGUGUAAUCUUGGGGCUUAACCCUGAGCGUGCUUUCGAUACGGGUCGACUUGAGGAAGGUAGGGGAGAAUGGAAUUCCUGGUGGAGCGGUGGAAUGCGCAGAUAUCAGGAGGAACACCAGUGGCGAAGGCGGUUCUCUGGGCCUUUCCUGACGCUGAGGAGCGAAAGCGUGGGGAGCGAACAGGCUUAGAUACCCUGGUAGUCCACGCUGUAAACGGUGGGUACUAGGUGUGGGGUCCAUUCCACGGGUUCCGUGCCGUAGCUAACGCUUUAAGUACCCCGCCUGGGGAGUACGGCCGCAAGGCUAAAACUCAAAGGAAUUGACGGGGCCCCGCACAAGCGGCGGAGCAUGCGGAUUAAUUCGAUGCAACGCGUAGAACCUUACCUGGGUUUGACAUGGAUCGGGAGUGCUCAGAGAUGGGUGUGCCUCUUUUGGGGUCGGUUCACAGGUGGUGCAUGGCUGUCGUCAGCUCGUGUCGUGAGAUGUUGGGUUAAGUCCCGCAACGAGCGCAACCCUUGUUCACUGUUGCCAGCACGUUAUGGUGGGGACUCAGUGGAGACCGCCGGGGUCAACUCGGAGGAAGGUGGGGAUGACGUCAAGUCAUCAUGCCCCUUAUGUCCAGGGCUUCACGCAUGCUACAAUGGCUGGUACAGAGAGUGGCAAGCCUGUGAGGGUGAGCGAAUCUCGGAAAGCCGGUCUCAGUUCGGAUUGGGGUCUGCAACUCGACCUCAUGAAGUCGGAGUCGCUAGUAAUCGCAGAUCACGCAACGCUGCGGUGAAUACGUUCCCGGGGGCU